UGCUCAUCCUCCAAACAAGAAACAUUUCUGCGUUCUCUACUCUCCGCCGCUUUCUUAUGUUUACAUUACGGAGUAGGUUUCGGUUACAGUUGAAAAAAGCACGUGUCUUCUACAACUCUCUCUAAAGACGCAAGCGAUUUAUUUUAUUCCGACGUCUACGAAGUUUGUUGUGUUUUAAAGUUUUUCAAAUAUCGUCUGUCUUUCUAAGCAGAUAAAUGUCUGUUUUCGUUACUCUGCGGUAAUGUUUAAAUGGAAGAUGUGCAAAAUAGAGGGGGCUGAUGCCUCCUUAUGUUUCUAAACAUGGAAUUAAAAACUUUUAUCAUCAUAUCAUUAUUCAUGGUCCAGUCAUUGACCAUGUCUACUGCUAAAAGACAUAAAAAACGACAAUUAUCAUGCGAACAAUCACAACAAGAUACCUCAUUUCUAUGGACAUUGUCCGAGAGAGUACCGCCGGUGUAUUUCUUCGGUACGAUCCAUGUACCGUACACUAUGGUAUGGGACCACAUUCCUUUUCCAGCCAAGAAGUCUUUCGAAAGAGCUGACAGUGUCUUUUUUGAGCUUGACUUAUCCGAUCCUGAAACAGUGGCACAGCUUGCUAGCUGUCAGAUGUUACCGACGGGGAAGUCUCUAUCAGAUAUUCUUCCCGAAGAGCUUUAUCGUCGAUUAAAACGGCACCUGGACUAUGUGAAGCUUAUGAUUCCAAACUGGAUGGAAGAUGAACAUAGAGGACUUUUUGCUGAAUAUCUCUUUAAGGCAAUGGCUGGUAACUGGGAGAAGAAAAGACCCGUGUGGGUGAUGCUCAUGUUGAAUUCCUUGACGGAAAGUGAUGUUCGAACUAGAGGCAUUCCUGUCCUAGAUCUAUAUUUGGCUCGGGAAGCGACUAGGUUAGGUAAAAAAUCUGGAGCUGUAGAGCGGGCUGAAGAACAGUGCUUACCUCUGAAUGGCUUGGAUGUUUCACAGGUCAUAUUUGCCUUAAAUCAAACUCUGAUGAGGCUAGAGAAACUUAGGAAUGGACAUACAUCAUCCAUGUAUGACACGGAUGAACUGGUCCGAAACUACAAUUGCAGGAAUCUCAGUUCUGAUGCGUUCAAAAACACAGAUUUGCUCUCUGACAACGACAGCUCGGCCGAUGAACUGUUACUAUCCAGGGACAUCAACCGAUAUUUUCGGAGGGAACUGAUUGAAAAAAGAAACGCCAGAAUGGCCGAUAGAGUCCUCCAGUUACUGAGGCAACAUCCAGAUGAAAGUUUUUUCUUUGCAUUUGGAACAGGUCAUUUUCUUGGAAAUGGUAGUGUCCUGGAUUAUAUUGAAGAAGAAGGCUACCAAGUUGAACAAGUUGCUCCAUAUGCCAAAAUCAAAAAUUUUAGGAGACCUCAUCAUCAUAAUCGCCAACGAGGCUCGAGCCAUCAGCAUUCUGCGUCGAACGCCAACCCUUGGGACGAGAGCUCACGUAGGCGGUAUAAGAAGAGGGGUCACCAUCACCAUGGUGUACAGUUACUCAGAUCCGUAACAACUACACCAACACCUAAAGUUAAAUCGAAUCAGCAAAGACAAUUUAAUGAUUUGUGGGUGAAACUGGAUCAUCCAGAUAGGUCCAGUGAUCAGAGUGAUCAGGAAGCAUCUGAAAGCAUUCGAAAAUACAAGAAAAAAACACAAAUUUGGCAUCCAACCACUAACAGCAUAAGUUCAGCCCAGAGCCUAAUUUUAGAAAGAAUUACAUGGAUUGCAUGCCUGACAUUUAUGCAAUAUUAUAGGCAGUUACUAACUAUUUGAAACGCAAUCAAGCGAAAAGUAUUUAAAGCCCAAUUGUAUUAUCAAGCCUGAUUGCUGUUGUUUUAGUCCCUUUAAGAUCGUUUGCUUUUUUUUCAAAAAGGAUUAAAAUAUCGUCUGAAGAAUCAGUGAAGUUGAAAAUAAGUUUCUUGACAAGAUUUUCUUUUCAGAAAAUGGCAAUUACGUGACAUAGCGUGUUGCUUCGAAUGUUUGACGCGGAAGUUAUUGAAUGAAAGCACUUGGGAGAUGACUAAGAAUUUGAACUUUUUAAAAGUGAAGUUAAUCUAAUAAAACUUCAAUUAUUAUAAAUAAUAAGUUAUUUCUAGAUAAAUCAGUGUUCAUGCUGAUUGUCAAAUGAAACUUUUGCAUGACAAAUAGUUGUUUUUUAUACUUUUAAAUCAAUCCAUCUGUAUAUAUGCGACAACUCUAUUAGAACAAUUGUACCACAUUACUGAGUUUUUCUUUCACAGGAUAGGAAUUGUAAUGUAUGUAAGUGUUUCGUAUUAUCAGCAGUAUUAUAUUGAUUAAAUCUUAAAACGUAUUUAAAAUUAAUUUUCUCUUGAAAUCAGAGUUUAUCAAGUUCUAUUGAAUCCUGCAAUUUUUUUUUUUUUUAGUGGAGGAAAGCGUUUGUAGUUAUAUUCCGACUGGAUGUCAAAACACAAUAUUUAUCGUUGUUUCAAUACAUUAAAAAAUGCUUACGUCACUAGUCUGUAAAAAAUUUUUUUUUAAUAUUUAAUCCUUUAUAAUCAGAAUUUUUUUAGAUAGUUUUUUGAGGACAGGAAAGUCAAAAAUAGCAAGAAUGAUUUUUUAAGGAGGAUGGAGGGGUUGAAAGAAGGAAUUUUUUUAAAAAAAAGUGUCUUGUAAAUAAAAAAUAUGUUUUCGAAAAACUUUUUUAUCUUUACAAUUUAAAUGUAAAAACAUUUUAUUAAGUCUUUCAUAAGUGAGAAACAAAUUGUCAAAACACAGAUAUAAAACUCUUGAAUUUUUGUUUAUCAGCAACUGUGUUUAGACGCCAAGAUAAAAAUAACAAAAAAAUUACGAAAAAAUAUAAUACUACUAUAAUUUUUGUAACAUAUUUAACAAAAUUCAUCAAAGUAAUGUAGCAUUAAAAGUGGGCCUAAAAUUGAUUCAAUUAAAACGCAAAUAGCUUUAAGAGCUAUAUUUUUUUUUCUCCAAUUCCCACCUUUUUAGAAUAACCCACCUGGGCAUCUAAGGGCAGAUUUGUUGGUCACUCUUUCAGGGGCACCAUAUUAGGUGGGCCAACGUUGCUCCCACAGUAAGGACAGAUAGUACAGAGAAGGAAAGAACAUCCAUGCCUUGCCCGGGAUUCGAACCCAGAACCUUUCUGAUGCAAUGGCAGUUCCCUAACCCCUACACAGACCCGUCGGCUUUAAGAGGUAUAUGAAAAUCCAUUUUUACACGCACACAAAAAAAAAAUUUUAUUAAAAUUACCAUACUGUACAGAAUUGACCAUUCUAGUAAUAAAAAGAAAAAGCCUAGCAACUCCAACAAUUUCGCGUGCAGGUCGUCGGGCUACCGAAGCGGGGGUGCUACCCCCUUUGCAGAGGAUCAAAAUUGUGAUGGCAUGUCUUCGGAUCAUCCUCAGGGAUGUUUCCCAGACCGUCGCCAAUAGCCCAUUGUGCAGCUCUAGUGUGACGUAAAUAAACUACAACAACAACUCCAGUAAUAACAACCAAAAUCUACGGUAAUUUUUUCAUUCAUAUGAUUUUCAAAUAUAUAGUUCCUAUGUCUAGACAUUUAAUACAAAAAAUACUAAACUGAAAAGUAGAUUUUAACGAAUAAAUGAUUUUUAUGCCAUGCUUUAAGGUAGCGGUUCCCAAAUUGGUGCUCUGCGGAAGCCUUGGGCUCCGUGGAAAUGUGAACGUGGCUCUUCAAGUUAAUACUUUUUAUAUACAGAAAUGUUUUUUAAAUCUCCGAUUAUAUUCAGAAUCAACCUUUCGGUUGUUUUUAUAAAAUUAUUUCAAGUAAAAUUCCAACGAAAUGGAAAUUACAUUUUUUAAAAGGAAAUAUAAUAAUUAUAAUAACAAUAUAUUGAAUAAAUUAGGGAAAAAAAAACAAGCUUUUAUAAAGUAUUGCGUAAGCAUUUCCGAUCGCGCUUUUCGAUACAAAAUAAUUCCUUAAUAAAGAAAUAUAUUUCCCUAAUACCCAUUUUCAAUAGUAGUUUUCAUCUCGGAGUAUUAUUCUACUUAUUUUCUUUCAUGUAUAUGCACCAAAAACAAAUUCAUAAGUAGACAUAGAACAAAAACUGUAGAUAUAGAACAAAAACUGUACAUUUAACUGUUGGAGAUGAAACCUAAUUUAAGAAUAUUAAUGUAAAACGAUGAAAAAUCUUCAUUUCUCUAAUUAAAUAUUGUAAAAAUGGCUUUUUAUAGGUUAUAAGGUUUACAAUUAUCUUAAUAAACUUUAUUUAUAAAGUCGGGAUUGCGCCUAAGGAAGCUUGAUAAUUUAGGGUUCAAUAGCCGAAAAAAAUUGGGAACCGUUGGUUAAGAACAUAUAUAGUUUGUCUAAAAUAAGAACUCCUCCUGACUUUCGUCUGGAACUGUGGCGGUGACUAUGGUAACAAGGUAUGACUAUUUCAAGUAGGGGUGCGGGGUCCCUGUUUUGGAGUGGUUUGGGGGCGGCGAGAAAGAGGGAAUCUCUUCGGUCUAUUGUGUUAGUCCUAGAGUGAAGCUACCCUCCUUAAAAUGCGCCAUUCUUGCUUCCACAGAACUAGACGGCCUCAGACUUUGUGGCGGGAGGAGUUCUCAGCUUAGACAAACUAUACUUUUUUUCUUAGAGUGGGAUAAAAUGUCCGACUCUUUCAGUAGAUUGCUGAGGGUGUCGAUUCAUGGAAUUAUGUUACAUAUUAUGAAGUGAUUGUAUUUGAUGUGAACAUAUUUUUUUUUACAACCAUGACCUUAUGUGUUCGAAAAGUUCAUAAGACACCAAAAUUUUUGUGUAAAAAACAACCAGAAUAAGUUUAUCUGAAAAGCAUAAAACAUCCUUAAAUGUAUUUGUUGUAGUUAGCAUUAUUUUACUAUCUAAUUAUAAUAAGAAAUAAUAAUUAUCUCAGAAACUUUUCUCAUAUAGAAAUGCACAGGGUAUUUACCAUUACAUUCUGCGCAUAAAAAGUUAAGUUUAGCGAAAAUGUAAUAACCCUCAAAUAACAAAAAAUUUAGAAAUAUUAUGCUUUAUUUGUUCUUUUUUUUCUUUCUUAAAUUUCUUUUCUUGUUAGUAGUUAGUUCAGUUGCAAUUUACUUUGUACAAACUUCAUGAAGAUUAAGAUCUUUAAGAAGAAAGUGGUAUCAAAAUAUAACUAACCUUCAUUAAAAAAAAAAAGGGGGGGGGGAAAUAACUUUCGUGACACCUUUUAAAUAGCUGGAAGUGAGGUAAAUUGAGAAAUAAAAACUAACCUGCUUCGUUGGUUUAAAUUAAUAAUUCUUUUAAAUCGAACUGUAUGCAAGUUUUGCUGGAAAAAAGACAACAUAAUAAAUGGAAAUUUUAAAAUACUUAAAUUUCCGAAUUUAAAAAGAUCGUCAUAGUCAGGUGUAACCACAGAAAUCUAAUUAAUUUUUAUACUUCUUGAAAUAAGGUGGUUCUAAACGGAAAAUAUUUUUUAUUUCAUAUUCAAAAGCUGAUUUUCGUAAAUCUAUUAAUAAAGGGCUUUAAAAGAAAUGAAGAAAAAAUUGUAGAUAAACUUUGUUUUAUGAAGAGUUAAAAUAUUCGUGACUACAAGGCUUAUUAUCAGUUAUAACAUAUAUACUGGAAAAUUUUAAAUAGUGAUCGAAAUAAAAAAUCUAACGAUUUGACAACACCUCAAACUGAAUAAUUUCCGACACAAUAGAGCGUAUACAUUCUGUAAUCACAUCCCUUCAUAUUUAUUUUUAGAAUUGUUGUCAUAAAUGAAUUGAAAAAAAAUAUUAACGGUCACAAAUUAUUUCCAAUAUAAUUUUGUUCUUCGUAAGCAAAGGAAAAAUGCAGGGGUGAUUGUGAGCCCAAGUCAAAAUUCCGGAAAAUUUCUUGAGUUAAAAAAA